rnacentral:lncRNA from 1 species
UGAAAGUGUCAUGUUUGUAUUGUCAUCUAUGAAAAGAUCAAAGAAUGGCUAUAAAAUAACAAAUCUUGGCCAAUGUAAGUUGGUAAGAAUUUUUAAAUAUUUCACAAACAAAAACACAUUGCCAAAUGUUGUUUUUGUCUCCCCAGAUCUAAUGCCCCCAUUGAAUAGGUAUUUCACUGAGAAAAUUAAAAGUCAAAACAUUAGAAGCAUGUAUUUAUACCUAAUGCAACUUCAAUGUGACAUUUAAAAAUUCAUCAAACUCUAUAUAAUAUAAACCCAAUUUAUUAAAAAAAAUUCAUUCUGGC